rnacentral:rRNA from 1 species
UACAGAGGUCUCAAGCGUUGUUCGGAUUCAUUGGGCGUAAAGGGGUGCGUAGGCGGCGCGGUAAGUCGGGUGUGAAUCUCGGAGCUUAACUCCGAAACUGCAUUCGAUACUGCCGUGCUUGAGGACUGGAGGAGGAGACUGGAAUUUACGGUGUAGCGGUGAAAUGCGUAGAUAUCGUAAGGAAGACCAGUGGAGCGAAGGCGGGUCUCUGGACAGUUCCUGACACUGAGGCACGAAGGCCAGGGGAGCAAACGGG